rnacentral:rRNA from 1 species
UGGGGAAUUUUGGACAAUGGGCGAAAGCCUGAUCCAGCAAUGCCGCGUGUGUGAAGAAGGCCUUCGGGUUGUAAAGCACUUUUGUCCGGAAAGAAAUCCUUGGCUCUAAUACAGUCGGGGGAUGACGGUACCGGAAGAAUAAGCACCGGCUAACUACGUGCCAGCAGCCGCGGUAAUACGUAGGGUGCAAGCGUUAAUCGGAAUUACUGGGCGUAAAGCGUGCGCAGGCGGUUUGCUAAGACCGAUGUGAAAUCCCCGGGCUCAACCUGGGAACUGCAUUGGUGACUGGCAGGCUAGAGUAUGGCAGAGGGGGGUAGAAUUCCACGUGUAGCAGUGAAAUGCGUAGAGAUGUGGAGGAAUACCGAUGGCGAAGGCAGCCCCUGGGCCAAUACUGACGCUCAUGCACGAAAGCGUGGGGAGCAAACAGGAUUAGAUACCCUGGUAGUCCACGCCCUAAACGAUGUCAACUAGUUGUUGGGGAUUCAUUCCUUAGUAACGUAGCUAACGCGUGAAGUUGACCGCCUGGGGAGUACGGUCGCAAGAUUAAAACUCAAAUGAAUUGACGGGGUCAUAGCUG